rnacentral:rRNA from 1 species
AUGAAUUUCAUAGUAAUAGAAAUCCAUGUACUACGGAGACAGAAUUUAGAACUUGCUAUCCUCUUGCCUAAUAGGCAAAGAUUGACCUCUAUAGAAAGACUGAUUCAUUCGGAUCGAUAUGAGGACCCAACUCCGUUGCAUUGUCAGAAUAGACUUCACGAAGAGGCGAAGAGCCAAGCGCAGUAG